AUUGAAACAUCCGUUCUCGUACGAUCACCGAAGUUAAGCAACGUCGAGCCUAGGCAGUACCUAAAUGGGUGACCGCUUGGGAAUGCCAGGUGCUGUAA